UCCGGGGUCCGGGGUCCGAGAGCCUUUCCCCGCUCCGGGCACGCCCGCUGCGUCCCGCUUGCUCUGCCCGGCCCGGCACCGCACCGUCCUGGGAAGUUAGUUUGUGCGUCGGGACGCGCUGGUCUGGGGGACCCGGCUGAGCGCAGGGACUUUGCAUUGGAGACGGGAAUGCUCCUGGGGCAUCCUCAGUACGUGGGGAGUCUAUAAGUUGUGUAACUGGACAUGGAGGAACCAAAGCCCGUGGGGCCGGGCACCCGGUAUGACUGGGCUGAGAGUUAACGGGUCUCUCUUCUUUUUCGAAUACUCUUCUUUGUCUGGGUUCUUGGGAGAGAUCUCCAAACUCUUAGUCUCAAGACAGACAAUUAGAGCGGAAAGUUAGGGCUCACUUUCGGACUGCUUCCUUGUUUCUCUAAAUUAGGGAGAUAGCUGGAUCUUGGUUGUUUUUUAUUUCUCUGCUAAAGAUUGCAGGUUACACUGAAUGCUUAGGUUUAGGUGCCUUUUAUCUCGACCCAGGAUAUUGGCCCUUAAUUUUUGUACUGACAAGUGCUGUAAAUGAAACCACUUCUACAUAUCUGCUGGGUGGUAGGGAGAGCAUUAAAAAAAGAAAGGGGGAAAAAAAAAAAAAAAGAAAGGAAGGAAGAAAAAGGAGUCACCUUGAUCUCUUUUUGGAACAGAUUUGUCAAGGAUUGUGUUAGGGGUGACCUGGGAGGACUUUGGUCAUUGCACCAAGACGCUUUUAUUCCAGCCUCCACUGUGGACUGCUGGAGUGACCUUGGCAAGUUCUUUUCCCUCCAGGCCACUCGGAGCUUUGUGUAAUGUGCUUUUAACCUAUGGCGGCGGCUUUGCUGUGUUUCUUUAGGGAUUUUCUCAUCAAUUUGAUCAGGUUAUCCAUGUUGAGUGGGCAUUAGACUACAAAUUGGACUCAGACCUCUCCUACAGGGUCCAUAAAGCAUAAUUAAAUAUUUAUCAUGUAGAUAUUCAUCUUCUGCAGAGACAGAUAUUAUUACUUCUCUUUUAUUCAAUAGCACUAAGAUGAGCUAUAUUAAAAUAAGUAUAUUUGGAUUCUGAAUUCAUUCUAAAAAUACAUUCUGUUCCUUUUGCUGUGUUAAAUUAUUUACAUGUUUGAUAAGACAUUCUUCAUCUUUAAACAAAUUUCAGUUAUAUUACUGAGGUCUUGUUGUUUACUGGAUAGGUACUUAUUUGUGGUAGUUUUAUUGUUGUAAAAUCCUUAGACAUUAUACAGCAGCGUAUUCCACAAACUGUUUGACUACAGCGUUUGAGUUCAUCUACACAAUUACGUUGCUAACGCUUUAUUCUUCCAACCACGAACAAUAUAGUCAAUAUUCUCUCUAAUAUUCUGUCCUCAAUUUGCUCCGAUAACUGAUUAAGUGAGAUGAUACAUGUAUAAGUUCUUGUGAAGUGUGCUGGUAUGUGUUAAUGUAAACAUAUGAAAAGUGUUGCAUGGUAAAUAAUUCCGAUGCAGAUUUUUAGAACAAAUAUGUUUCAUAAGUCUUUCUGAAUCUGGGAUUUGUUAGUUUAACAAAAUGGUCGAAUUAGUUUUGAUUAUAUCAUAUACACAACCUUCCUAUUUGUUUUUGCAAAAAAAUACAUAGCUUUUUGUAAGCACAUGCAGUUCAGAAAGUAUCCUACCCAUGAUCUAAUUUAAGUGGCAUAAUACAGAUAUCUAUAAUGGCUGCAAUAAAAAAUAAAUGAGGGAAUUUUAUUUCUUUGAGAAGGUACAAAAAUGAUUACAAAUGAAAUGUAAUAGUGUGUUAUUUGAAAUAAAAUUGAACAGUUUUCACCCCAAUGCUAAAAUAAUUUUUUAAGCACAACAGCUCUUGAUGUUAUUAGAGCCUCAUUAUUUGUUGAAUGACCAAUGAUUCAUUAUUUUUGAAUUCAUGAUACAUUGGAGUGCUGGUGAUAUUUCCAAGUUUGUAUGAUGCCUUUGCACAUGAAGAAGAUAAUUGCAAUAUCAAUAAAACAGUGCUGCUCAUUUCUCUUCAUAUUAUUUACAAAUAUAUGGAAAGAAAGCUUUUGCUAAAAAAAAAUUGAUGUGUCAAAUCUGAUGGGUAAGACUGGA